rnacentral:sRNA from 1 species
AAUUCGUCGCAAUGGCAGGCUAAUGAUUACACAUAGCGAAUAGCUUAUUUCCAUUUUUGACCACGGAUGUACUGGCACUGGUGUCGAGGUAAGCUUAGGAAGGUCGGGUAGCUCCCGGCCUUUUGCUUU